rnacentral:misc_RNA from 1 species
GGGUAACUAAGCUGUCAUUAGCUAAUAUGGUGCUCGUAUUGUAGUUUUAAUAGGCUUUAUAUUAUGGUGAGGUACAAUUCUGCAUCUUUUUUGGUGGCAUAGAGAUAGCCAAUGUUAAUUUCAUUCUGCUUCAGGGUGUCUCCGUCCAAAAAAACCCAGUCUGCUUCAGGGUGAUAGAUCUUUUUGAACCUAAGCAAUGUCAAACCAUUUGAUAAACCAGACAAGCUAGGGAACAUCACAAGUGCAGAGUCCUGUACAUCAGGAUUGUUCUUCUUCUUCUAAUUAUGCUGUGUCUAACUGUAAUUGCGGCUAUCAAAUAUGUGGUCAACUGGUCAUUCAGUUAUGAAAAGAUGUCUAGAUACUGCAUUUCAGAAUCCAUUAGGAACAAAAUAGUUGUUGGGUGUUGGAUGUAGAAGUUGGUUCUUCCUAUGCUUCUUGUGACUUUUGCAUUUUGGAAAUGUCGGGAAAAUAUUCUGUGUUGUCAAGGUAUCAUUUAUUAUUUCCUUUGUAAAUAUGAGAAAUCACAUUGUUGGUUUUUCUAGAUGUUGGAUUUAUACGAGGAUCUUGGAAUGCAUAUUAGGAUCUUGAGUGGAUAUGGUCUUGCCUACAACAAAUGUUGUUGUGGAGGUAUGCUGUUUUCUAGAUGGCAGCUUCGGAAUCUUUUAUGGUGUCUCUCCUCUAAUGAGCAUCAUGAAAUGUCCAUCGAUGCUAAGAUUGGGAACAAGAAGAUCAUGGAUUUUGAUGGUCAAGCUGGAGUGGCAUACUAGAACUUCACUUUGAAUUUGGGAUCGCCAUCUGGCAAGCUAAUAAGACACUAAUUGGUUCUUUCACUUCCUGUUAAUUGGUCUUUAAACAACACAAACUUAAAUUAUUGACUAGAACUCUUCCUUAACUAGGUAACUUGCAUGGCUUCAUACUUGUCAUUGUUUUCUCUUUGGGAUGGUGAAAUGGUAACGGGUUUCUGCAUGUCUACUUUGAUUAUGGCCACUCCGACGUGGAAGUGGCAUCAAGGCAGUCGGAUGAAAGUUGUUAAGCGGAAGGUUGGAUAUUAAAUUGAGUUGUUUCUGGACAUUUUGCAGAUCUCCAUCAAGAUCCAGAUCCCCAGUACCAUCUCGCCCAAAACGUGUGAGCAAAAGCCCAAAACCUCGCGACUCCAGGAGAAGCCAGAGCUUGAGUAAAAGCCCAAAACCUCGUGAUUCCAGGAGAAGCGAGAGUCCAAGCAAGAGCCCCAAACUGCGUGAUUCCAGGAGAAGCAAGAGCAUGAGUAAAAGCCCCGAACCACGCAAUUCCAGGAGGAGCCCCAGCAGGAGCAAAAGCCCCAAACCACGCAAUUCCAGGAGAAGCCCUAGCAGGAGCCGCAGCCGGAGUCGCAGUGGGAGUUUGUCGAGGUGAGAGCUAUAUUGUGGAUUAAGCUGUUGCUGCAGGUGCGGAGAUAGAGAGUGUGCUGCUGUGCCUGAAUAGAGCAGCUGAGCUGUUGGUGUCAUCUUUUCCGAUAACUAGUCCUGAUGAAUGGCUUCUGAAUUUUUUGGUCCAUGACCAAAAUAGAACUCAACUGUGAACCUUUGACUUGGGGAAGACUGCAGUAUUCUAGUAUUUUAAGCAACUUUGCAGCAUGUAUGAUGGCAAAAAUUGAAAAUUAUGUCUUGGAUAUUUGCAGAUUUUGUUAUUUGUUUCCUGCAGGUGAAAUGCUACUUAUGUAAUGACAUUGUCUGCACUCUUGUGACUUUGUAAGUUCUUU